CUGCCGGAGGCGGGAAAUGCUGUUGCUCGAUUGCAACCCGGAGGUAAGACUUGGGCUCACAGAGCUCGAGCUUUUGUCCUGCAGGCUCAAGCUUCCAGACGCGUCUUCUCGGGAACGCGGGGACUCGCCACUGGGCGCUGCCUGGUCACGCCUCGUCAGAGCUGGUUUUGAAGUUGGGGGAGUUUUGGCAGCCCAGAGAGGCGCGGGACUGGACAAAAGUGAGAAGGGUGCUGGAUGUCUUUUCUUCCCGCAGGUGGACGGUCUUAAGCAUUUGCUGGAGAAAGGGGCCUCGGUCAACGCACCCCCGGAUCCCUGCAAGCAGUCGCCUGUCCACUUGGCUGCAGGAGGCGGCCUUGCUUGCUUGCUUCUCUGGCAGCUGCAGACGGGCGCUGACCUCAACCAGCAGGUAACUAGGAUGUUUUAGGAGAAGCUCCACUACACAAGGCAGCAAAGGUUGGAAGCCUGGAGUGCCUUAGCCUGCUUGUGGCCAGUGAUGCCCAAAUCAAGUGAGUACGACAUCAUGGCUUCACACUUUAUGUUUUCUUGGAUUAAAUAAUCAGACUCCUGAAGCAUAGUUACAUGUGCUUUCAAAAAUAAUGCUUGCCUAAUUGACAAUUUAGUGUUGUCAUUUAAAUGUUAACUUAGGCUGUUGGUGCUGUCUAAUAAUACUCAGUUUGAGUAAGUAGAAAGAUCCUGAGCAGUCAGAGUUGCAAUUCUGUUCAUUAGACGGUAUUCUACUUCAAUCGGCUUAGGAAAACCAAUUCUAUAGUUCUCAUUGACUACCUUUGGGUACUCAUCCACUGUAUUAAACAGCAAAUAAUUCUUCAUUCAAAAAUGGAAUGCCCGCUCUAUGCUGGAUUCUGUUAGCUGCUGAGAAUACAAAAUGACCAAAAAUGCACUUUCCCUAUGCGUUCUUUACCUCUUCUGUUCUGCAGCCAACAUUUGUAUGAGCCCAAAAUUCCUUUGUAAGAUACUAAAAAAACACUUUAGAAGUUCAAUUUUUCAUUUAACUCAAUUUUUAUCACAUUUUCAGUUUAUGUAACAAGAAUGGGCAAACAGCUGAAGAUCUCGCUUGGUCGUGUGGAUUUCCAGAAUGUGCCAAGUUUCUUACAACAAUUAAAUGUACGCAGACAAGAAAAUCAAGUGAAUACUCUGACAGGGAUGACUGUGCUCCUGUGCUCAGACAGAAACGAAGUUUUGGAAGUGCAGAAAAUAUCAGUGGGAAAAGGAAGUGUUGAUGUCACGUGGGUCAUGAAGAAGUCUGAAGAAACGCCUUCAUUUCAUGCAGAUGUAUGAGCUCCAGCUUUUGGCUUACCAUAUGUGUCUAAACGCCUUCUGAGAAGGAGGAAAUCCUUUCUUCCAAGUGAAGAUCCAUUUAAGAACACAUGUAUUUACAUGCCUGUAAUAUGCUGGUUGUGUAUGCUUUGUCUUUUAAGUUAUUAAAGGGAUGUGUGAAAAAUACAUUCUCUGUGCAGUAUUUACAACCUUUGAAAAAGGUCAUAGUUUAAACUGUCAAACUAAGACCAGAAUUUAAUGUGAAAUUAAACUGAUUCUUUAUCCACCAAUUUA